ACUCCUACGGGAGGCAGCAGUGAGGAAUAUUGGACAAUGGGGCAACCCUGACUCAGCAUGCCGCGUGAUUGAAGAAGGCCUUAGGGUUGUAAAAGAUCUUUCAAUAGUGAAGAUAAUGACGGUAACUAUAGAAGAAGCCCCGGCUAACUCCGUGCCAGCAGCCGCGGUAAUACGGAGGGGCUAGCGUUGUUCGGAAUUACUGGGCGUAAAGCGCGCGUAGGCGGGCUAUUAAGUCAGGGGUGAAAUCCCGGAGCUCAACUCCGGAACUGCCUUUGAUACUGGUAGCCUANAGGUCGAGAGAGGUGAGUGGAA
rnacentral:rRNA from 1 species